CUGGUAAAUAUAUCACGUUCUUCGUCUGUCAGUAACUUACGCCGGUGAUCGUUCCUACUUUGCUGAUAGUGAAAUUGACAGCUAACGAUUCUUGUCUGAACAUCAUCUCCGUAAACUUCCUUAAGUCCUUUCCAGUUUGACCCUGCUUCGUCUACCAUCCAUCCACAUGGAUUGAAUUUGUAGAAAUUUUGCCUAGACACGGUUUGCAAAACUUUAUUGAACAACUCCCACAUUAUUUUCACAGAUCUGGUGUCUUCCUCUUUGCAUUCCAUGGUUGCUAACUUCACUAUCUUUCUUAAAAGUGGGUGGAAUGUAGUGAUGCUAAAUGUUUUGAAUCCUCGACAUCUUUUAUGGGCCGCGUCAAAGAAAACCCACUCUUUCGACAUAUAGUGGUUGCCGGACCUAUCCAUUUCCAAAGCGAUUUUAGCCAAAAAGGUGCUGCUUUUGAAAACAUAUGAUGGAUUCUCGUUCAUACCCUCGCCAUUUAUCUCAAAGAUAAGGAACGGAUCCUGUGCAUCUAGCUGUCUCUUAAGAUGAACUACUGCAUCAAAACUGUGUCCCAUACCUAAUUUUAGUGUGCAGUGAUAACCAAUUUGUGCAGUGAUAAAACUAAAAUGUGCAGUGAUAAAAUGUAAAAUGUGCAGUGAUAAAAUUUCCUGUGAAAAGUUGUUAACACGAAAAUCAAGCAAUGAGCAGACGAACUGAACUAAAAAUUCGUCUUGACACUUGACA